GGUGGAGUAAAUGGAUGCAAAGGCUGAAGCUAAGCAGAAAAUGGAAGGCAACCUUUCCGAGAACCAGGGCGGGUGAGGACAAUCGAGCUGGGGGAACAGUAAUGAGAGAGCUGGAGAGGCACAGAAGGAGAGAGAAAUCCUGAUUGAAGAGUGAGGCCAUGGAAGGGUAAGAAAUAUACUUUGAACAGAAAAACGAAGAAAGCAAAAUGCGUCUGGAACUCAAAAUUCGAUAUAGGAAAAAAAAAAAUCACGCUAAAGAGAACUUGUCCCGGAAAAUGCCGAGAGAUAGGGGAAAAAAAAAAAAAAAGGCAUCGAGCAUACCGCAAGAACAGAAAGUGAAAGAAGGGAGAAAGGAGAGGAGACAAACCAGACAAGAAAUAUAAAGAAGACAUUGGGUUCAUUCAGACUGUAUUGUCAGAAAAGGAACCAAGGUUUGAGGACUGGAAACCUUGUCAUUUUCACCUUUAAAUCAUCUCCUGGCGUCACCUCUGCCUGACGAGACCUUUGAAGUGAUGGAUCCUAUAGAUGCCAAUGGUUAACUACAACAGAAAAACAUAAAUCCCCUUUGCCUGCUGUGGGCUUAAAUCCUAUGAACUUUCCUUGACACUCUAGACCUGAACAAGGAAGCAGGUCAUUGACUAAGAGUCAUUAACAAGCAUUUGGAGAUUCUGAAGAGGCACCGACCCUAACACGAGACUGAUACCAUGAAAAGUAGAGUGAACAAGUGUGGAAAAAUGUCCUUUGAUGAAUCAAACAAGCUCUAAAGUCCACUCAGUGUUGGACUUGCCCUGUAAUAUUUUAAGGCAGUUUGAGUGCGGCUUUCCAUUACUUGCAACCAAAAGCAUCCGAAUUAUUGGAUCAUUAAGAGACAGCCUACAACAAUGGAAAUAUAAAACUAAAAAUAUCCCAAAGAUUAUUUAACAAAAACUUUCAUUUUAAAAAUGAGAAGAGGGGCUUCCCUAGUGGCGCAGUGGUUGAGAGUCCGCCUGCCGAUGCAGGGGACAUGGAUUCGUGCCCCAGUCUGGGAAGAUCCCACAUGCCACGAAGUGGCUGGGCCCGUGAGCCGUGGCCGCUGAGCCUGCGCAUCCGGAGCCUGUGCUCUGCAACCGGAGAGGCCACAACAGUGAGAGGCCCACGUACCACGGGAAAAAAAAAAAAAAAAAGGGAAGAUUAAGACCCACACAGCUGAAAUGACUCACACAAGGUAGCACAAUCUACCUGGCCUUAAUGUUACAUAGAGUUGGACCUGGAUCUCAGGUGUCCUCAUUUCCAGCCCAUUGUUCGUUCUACUGAAGAAUAAAGUCUUCAUUGAAAA